CUGUAGUGCUAUGAGAGUUGAUAAAGUAUUUCAAUAUGCUAUGAAAUUUAGAUAAUAUUGGUUAUGUGUUUAUUUAUGCAUACUGAUGCUGAUGAAUCAGGUCCAUAGUGCUUGGCUUCCACCUUGGCUUGCUGCACACUAUGUCCAAACUAGGUCAUUGGUUCAAACUCAUUGGGAUAAACAUGGGAAACCUACUUGGGAGGUGAUUACUCAAAAGGCUAAAGAGAAAAAGGAACAAGCCGGGAAAUGGGCUGAACCUCAUGUGGAAACAAUCACAACUAAAUGGAUCCCGGCUGUUAAGGAACACUGGUCUGUGGUGAAAACGAAUGCCGAACCUCAUGUGCAAUUAUUUACUACAAAAACUACUGAAAUUUAUGAGGCAUCAAAGAAUGCAAUUGCUCCUCAUGCAAGCAAGGCGAAAGAAUUUGUAGAUCCUUAUUAUCAGGAAGCUAAAAGGCUGAGCAAGCCAUACAUUGAUCAGGUUGCUGUUGCUGCGAAGCCUCAUGUUGAUAAAGCACAAGAGGUUUUGAAGCCCUAUACAAAACAUGUUGUUCAUGCUUAUGGCAGGUUCAUGGACUCUGCCACUACAUAUCAUAGCCAGGUCCAAGCAACUGUCCAGGAGACACUGAAAAAGCACGAGCUUACUAAGCCUCUUGCUACUAAAGAAUUGGAAUGGUUUGCGGCCUCUGCUCUUUUGGCCUUGCCUGUUAUUUUACUGGCUAGAGUUUUAUCUGCCACUUUCUGCAAAAAAGCCAAAAAGCCUGCUCGAAGUGGAAACACUCAGAGUGCUCGACGUAAAGCUAAACGAGGGCAUCCAGAUCAGCCCGACAAGUAGAUAACACAAUGUUCGUUCCUACUUUUUUUUGGGACAGAUUUAGGGAAAUGGAGUCAUGUGGAUGUUAAUUGAAACAUGUUUCUUACAGACUGUCAUAAUUAUUGUUUUUACCUGUUCACAUGGACUUAUCUUGGGGGCCAGAUAUUUUACCUGUUCCAUUUUAUGUGGGCUUUGAAUAUUUUAGCUUUUUGUUUCUCAUUGAGGGAUCUUCAGAAGGUUAGAGUUGGGCAUACGAUGUGCUUAGGCAUUCAUGUAUUAUGGCUGUGUUAUAUUUGUUAUUUCACCCCUUCCCCCAUUUUGUUCGGAGAAAAAUCUUCAUAUAUUUCACAAUCAUGUAUGUUUAUUGAGGUUGCUUUUAGAACUAGAAGUUGAAAGAAACUAAUUCAUGGGUUAUUCUUCACUAUCA